rnacentral:rRNA from 1 species
UACGGAGGGUGCGAGCGUUGCUCGGAAUUACUGGGCGUAAAGCGCGUGCAGGCGGCCGACUAAGUCAGGUGUGAAAGCCCGGGGCUCACCUCCGGAAGUGCGCUUGAAACUGGUCGGCUAGAGUACGGGAGAGGGAAGCGGAAUUCCUGGUGUAGCGGUGAAAUGCGUAGAUAUCAGGAGGAACACCGGCGGCGAAGGCGGCUUCCUGGACCGAUACUGACGCUGAGACGCGAAAGCGUGGGGAGCAAACAGG